GAUGAACGCUGGCGGCGUGCCUAAUACAUGCAAGUCGAGCGAAGCGAGGACGGGUGAGGAACACGUGGAGAACCACCUUUAAGAAUGGGAUAACUUCGGGAAACCGGAGCUAGACCGGAUACUUAGGGAUGGAACUACGCUGUAUUAGCUAGUUGGUAAGUUAACGGCUUAACAAGGCAACGAUGCAUAGACGCCCUGAGGGGUAGAUCGGCCACACUGGAACGGAGGCACGGCCCAGACACCGACGGGAGGAAGCGGUAGGGAAUCUUCCGCAAUGGGCUAAAGCCUGACGGAGCAACGCCGAGUGAGUUCUGAAGGUCUUCGGAUCGUAAAACUCUGUUAUUAUGCAAGCGGUACCUAAUCAGAAAGCCACGGCUAACUACGUGCCAGCAGCCGCGGUAAUAC
rnacentral:rRNA from 1 species